GACGGAGGGUGCAAGCGUUGUUCGGAUUGACUGGGCGUAAAGGGCGUGUAGGCGGUCGGCCAAGUCUGAUGUGAAAGCCCGAGGCUCAGCCUCGGAAGUGCGUCGGAAACUAGUCGGCUGGAGCGCGAUAGAGGAGGGUGGAAUUCCUGGUGUAGCGGUGAAAUGCGUAGAUAUCGUCUGGAACGCCGAAGGUGAAAACAGCUCGCUGGGCUGCGCUGACGCUGAGACACGAAAGCCAGGGGAGCGAACGGG
rnacentral:rRNA from 1 species